rnacentral:rRNA from 1 species
UGGGGAAUAUUGCACAAUGGGCGAAAGCCUGAUGCAGCGACGCCGCGUGAGGGAUGACGGCCUUCGGGUUGUAAACCUCUUUCAGCAGAGACGAAGCGCAAGUGACGGUACCUGCAGAAGAAGCACCGGCUAACUACGUGCCAGCAGCCGCGGUAAUACGUAGGGUGCAAGCGUUGUCCGGAAUUACUGGGCGUAAAGAGUUCGUAGGCGGUUUGUCGCGUCGUUUGUGAAAACCAGCAGCUCAACUGCUGGCUUGCAGGCGAUACGGGCAGACUUGAGUACUGCAGGGGAGACUGGAAUUCCUGGUGUAGCGGUGAAAUGCGCAGAUAUCAGGAGGAACACCGGUGGCGAAGGCGGGUCUCUGGGCAGUAACUGACGCUGAGGAACGAAAGCGUGGGUAGCGAACAGG